AGGCUUAACACAUGCAAGUCGAGCGCCCCGCAAGGGGAGCGGCAGACGGGUGAGUAACGCGUGGGAACGUACCCUUUACUACGGAAUAACGCAGGGAAACUUGUGCUAAUACCGUAUGUGCCCUUCGGGGGAAAGAUUUAUCGGUAAAGGAUCGGCCCGCGUUGGAUUAGCUAGUUGGUGGGGUAAAGGCCUACCAAGGCGACGAUCCAUAGCUGGUCUGAGAGGAUGAUCAGCCACAUUGGGACUGAGACACGGCCCAAACUCCUACGGGAGGCAGCAGUGGGGAAUAUUGGACAAUGGGCGCAAGCCUGAUCCAGCCAUGCCGCGUGAGUGAUGAAGGCCCUAGGGUUGUAAAGCUCUUUCACCGGAGAAGAUAAUGACGGUAUCCGGAGAAGAAGCCCCGG
rnacentral:rRNA from 1 species